UCUCUGUUAGUAUAUCGGUUAGUACACGCGCCUGUCACCCGUCGCAACAUAGAGGGUCGCGCGAAAGCUGGGUUCGACUCCCAGACAGAGAG
rnacentral:tRNA from 1 species